rnacentral:rRNA from 1 species
CAUUGACAAUGAACUACAACCAUUGUCCGCCUGGGAACUACGAGCACCAGCUUAAAACCCAAAGGACUUGGCGGUGCUUUAGAUCCACCUAGAGGAGCCUGUUCUAGAACCGAUAACCCCCGUUAAACCUCACCCUUCCUUGUUUAUCCCGCCUAUAUACCACCGUCGUCAGCUUACCCUGCGAAGACCCAAUAGUAAGCACAAUUGGCACAGCCCAAAACGUCAGGUCGAGGUGUAGCGUAUGGAAGGGGAAGAAAUGGGCUACAUUCCCUGCCCCAGGGAAUCACGAACGAUACUCUGAAAUAAGUAUCUAAAGGAGGAUUUAGCAGUAAGCAGAAAAUAGAGCGUUCCGCUGAAACCGGCCCUGAAGCGCGC